rnacentral:lncRNA from 1 species
UCGAGGAUUUCUUUGGUGCCUACAUGUAGAUGGAUUUUCUCACCAGACUUGAUGGCAUCUUCCCACUAUGCAGCCAUGACAGGCAGUUCACAAGAACCACAGAUUAAAAGAAAACAGCCACAAAUUGGCAUUUAGAAAAUUUGGACUACAGAAAACCUGCUUGAAGACCCGAUGAACUACGUGUACCAGUAGUGUCCCUGUAAUCCCAACCAAAACCAUUUUCCCUCAGAUAAUAACUCUAAAGUAUAACCGAGAACACGGUGUACAUGUACGUUCUUCAAAGUUCAUCCACAAUAACCUACAGCUAUGAACACGUAUGACAGUAUAAAAAACAAAGUCUAAUUGUUUUCAGUGACUCUCAAGUUAACUGCUCCUAACUUCCUCUUUAUACUUCUGUUUAAUUAGGCAAGACGAUCGAGAAAGUGAACAACAGGAAUACAUUAAUUCAAUUGUUUGGAGCUGAUGAAGUUGUCUCUGAGUGUGAAUGCUGUGGUAUCAUCCUAGUCUUAUAAGUAUCGAUAUAUGGUCAUUUACUGCUCAAUAGCCAGUUAUUCCCAAUGCUUGAGCCCUAAAAAAUAUUUACCCAUCUACAAGUAACGACCUUUAUUUUGAAACACAAAUGUUUGCACACAGGAGCUAAAACAACUUCUCAAAGUUUCAAUGACAAUUUAAAUAUCUACCAAGAGUAAUCAAGGUCCCUAAAGCUACCCUAGAUGAGUCCCCAUUGACUGUGUUCAAUGCUGUCCUCAUCAUCUUAUGGUAUGCUACUUGCUUGAUCCACACGGCUCUUCACAUAGGACCCUGACUCGCUGUCACUGUUAGACAUGUCAUUAGCUGACAUCAACUCCUCAUCGUCUCAAGGUCUAGGGAUUUUUCCUCCAAGGAAUUUUAGUAUCAGAAUCCUCCCCAGCAAAAAACCCUCUGAGCAUUACAUAGGCUACAGUACAGGACCAACACAGACGCAGAAAACCUAGAAAGUACCGUCAACACUUAGCCAGAUCAGCACAGCGUCUCUGGUAUCAAUGAAAAUUCAAUACUAUUGAUUAUGCUAAUCAGACUACAGAUAAGAGAACAAUUUGUCAUGCUUCGUCUUACAAACAUCAUGACAAUAGGAGACAGGCAGUAACAGCAAGGACAGACAGAAUGACAUGGGCGAUUAAAACAUUCCAAUUUAUUAGCUCACACCUGACAAAGUUUGAAACAGCAAGAAAGUCAUAUCAUGAAACAAGACUCUGAGGUGACUUAAGCACUGGCGAGAAUCAACCCUAUAAGUGCCUGGAUCUGUGUAAUAGAACAGAUAAACAUUUAGGUCACUGUGACAAUAGCCAGUGGGCAGGGGCCAAGUUGUCAAAUAAAGCGCCAUUCAUAGAUAGCGUCCCCUAUUCAUAUGGAAAUGCCAUCAACUACUGUGAGUGAGCAAAACCCAGACAGGAACAGCUCCUCACCUGAAGCAUAUCAAUGGUAAUUUAGGUUCAAUGAAAAAAAUCAUCUGUGAUGAUCUCAGGUAGAUUUAUUGGAUUUUUUAUAUUAAGCUGUAUCAAUGCCUUGAUCCAAUCUUCUAAUUGAACAAACAGUUGAAGUGUAACGUAAUGCUGGAAAAAACUGUUGUGAGGAACAUGACUUGGUUGCUUAGUCCUGGUUGAAAACAAAACUGAUCAGAUGAUUAGCCAGUACUUCGGCGAUGUUUUUGCAGGGAACUGGUUAAGAGUCUUCCACAAUCUUUUAGUCAAAAUAUUGAAGACUGCACCAUAGCCAGAGGAAAUGUGUUGAAACAGAACACAUGCUUGUAAAAAAACUUGUCCCCAGCGACUGAGAAAAAAGCAUGAUUUCAAAUCAGUAAAAAAACCCACUAUUAAAGAAUGGUUUUCACUAUUUCACUGAAGAUGGUGGAUAUGUACGGUCGGGCAGGGCACAAUCCUACACCGUAGCUUCUUGAGACUAUUAACAGCAACUACAUGUACAUUGGCGUGUAUCUUGCUGCAAGAUUGGAAUCUGCCAAUCCAAUGCCUACAAAUGCAAUGGAUAUUAAGUCAUAGACAGUUAUGCCAAGGAUGUUGUUGGGAAUUGGUUUUUCUCCUACAGGUUAAAAUAAUUUUCUAAUUAACAGCCAGGCAAACACAGCAUCCGCAAGGGCACAACCUCUGUUAACAGAAUCCAGAGUGAAACUCUGCCAAAUUUAAUUGGCUCAACCGCUCAAUUACACAACCUCCUUGUGUUCCAUUCAUUCCUUAGACCAGGUAAUCAAGCUACUUGUGUCAGGUGUACAAUAUUCAAUUGUUGGCCUGUUCUGGUCUGGACAAGGUUUCACCACACUGAACAAAGGGAAUAGAAAAGUUGUCAUGGCAAAGCUAAGCAAGCCAGGAAUAUGAUCUCAGCAGGUGCAGAGCUCUGGAGGAUAAGCUCCCUAGUGAUGAUUUUAGGGUAGGGCUUGGUAGGGCUAAGCCUGGUGGGUCCUAUGGGGGUGUGACAGGUACAAGCUAAGGUGAGAAGGUUAAACAUGUCAUGCUGUGAGGGGUGGUACAAGGGAUCAAUGAACUGAACUGCUCAAGACCUACACAAUGUCCAUCCCCCAACAGGGUACUCUGUGCCCUGGCAUGCCUGGCGAACUCACAUCAUGGCUUUAUAAAUGGAAUAUUUAUUGAUAUGUUUUCAAACCAAAAACCUCCUUGCUGCGGAAUUUCCUGAAGUAAAGACAUAUCAUCAGAACUCUCCGACAAAACAUCAUCAAAUGUGGGUAAAGAUUGCUUUCCAAGACUAGACACACUCAUGAUUGAAUGGUGAUGGUACACGCAGAUCUCCAGUCAUUGAUGAAAGCCCUUUUGACUACAAUGUCUAUCAUUCCUACCCGAUCUGAAAGUGCCUGGUACUUGAUAGCAAUCUCA